GAUGAACGCUGGCGGCGUGCCUAAUACAUGCAAGUCGAGCGAAUGGAUUAAGAGCUUGCUCUUAUGAAGUUAGCGGCGGACGGGUGAGUAACACGUGGGUAACCUGCCCAUAAGACUGGGAUAACUCCGGGAAACCGGGGCUAAUACCGGAUAACAUUUUGAACCGCAUGGUUCGAAAUUGAAAGGCGGCUUCGGCUGUCACUUAUGGAUGGACCCGCGUCGCAUUAGCUAGUUGGUGAGGUAACGGCUCACCAAGGCAACGAUGCGUAGCCGACCUGAGGGCGUGAUCGGCCACGCUGGGACUGCGACACUGCCAAGACUCCUACGGGAAGCAGCAGUAGGGAAUCUGCCGCAAUGGACGAAAGUCUGACGGAGCAACGCCGCGUGAGUGAUGAAGGCUUUCGGGUCGUAAAACUCUGUUGUUAGGGAAGAACAAGUGCUAGUUGAAUAAGCUGGCACCUUGACGGUACCAAACCAGAAAGCCACGGCUAACUACGUGCCAGCAGCCGCCGCGG
rnacentral:rRNA from 1 species